ensembl:miRNA mdo-mir-30c-2 mdo-mir-30c-2
UGUAAACAUCCUACACUCUCAGCUGUGAGCUCAAGGUGGCUGGGAGAGGGCUGUUUACUCC